AAACUUUCAACAACGGAUSUCUUGGUUCCGGCAUCGAUGAAGAACGCAGCGAAAUGCGAUAACUAAUGUGAAUUGCAGAAUUCAGUGAAUCAUCGAGUCUUUGAACGCACAUUGCGCCCCCUGGUAUUCCGGGGGGCAUGCCUGUCCGAGCGUCAUUG
rnacentral:rRNA from 1 species